UUGAUUGACUCGGUUGUUAAAUUUGUGACGAUGCGUCGGACAAACAACAUUGGGAAAAUAUACAGCCUUGAGCCUUGAUGACCAAUGUAUAUCUCUAUUUGAGGAAUUCUCCAAAGAUCCAGAGCCGAUUGUUUCAUAGAGCUGUGAAGUUGCGUUAAACAUACUGGAUUUUGAAUGAUCCGACAAACCAUUCGAGGUACUUGGAAGAUUAAGUCUCUUAUCUGGGUGGUUGUUACAGGUUUAGGAUGUUAAAUGAUUUUGGAUGUACUCUGCGAUGUCGAUGAUGCAGAGAUGUUGGUGAAGCUCAGGUUAACAACUUCAUGUGUAUAUUUUAAUGAAUAAAGUUUUUGUUGUUUAUAUUUUC